CAUAAUAUUACAUUACAUGUCAUAAAGUUUGGAUAUUAUUAAAUGUCCUACAACUUAUAACUGGUCCCAUUCACCAAUAGCAACUGCUUCAUCACACUUAGCUUAAUCUCACUUUCCUCCGCUGCGAUGCGGCUCUGCCAUAGUUCUGGACGAAGAAGGUUUCGACUUCGAGGCUGAGGAUACAGAUUGAUUAACUACACUCUGUGAAGGUGAUCGUGGUUGCACAGUAGACGUUUCCGUCGCUGGAGGAACAUUUCUUCUCCAUCCUAUGCUGAAGUAGCCGACGAUAUUCCCCAUAACUGACUAACUGAGUGAUGUAAUUAAGACUCAAUAAGUGGUGUGUCUUUCUGUGAUGAAAGCCAAGUUCGCCUUUUAUAUUAAUUGUGUUGGGUGGUUGGUGGAAAACAUUUGUGUAAAGUUUGACUUUGGCAGGACUACAUAUCAGUCAUAGUCAAAGUCUGUUUUUUCUUUGAUAUUCUAAAUUGACUUAUUUUUGGGUUCAUCCCCUAAGGUUUACCAACAAAUAGGAUUGUGUUAUUUUAUAUUUGAUAUCUUUUUAAAAAGAAAACAAAAUAUUGUCAAGUUAUAUUAUGUUUUUAAAAGAAAAAAAGUAAGGGUAACCUGGUAAUUUAUUAUCACUAAAUGAAACAUUUUUGUCAAAUUGGACCUUGGGGUCCAUAUUUGGAAAAAAAAACUUGGUUUAGGACUAUCUAGGGUCAUUUAACAUAACCUAUAGGUUGAUGUAUCAUAUAAUCAAAUAAUAGUAAUAUCAACUAAAUUUAGUAUUUAUAUUUAUAAAUGAAAAUAUAUUAAAUUAUAUUUUAACAUUCUAAUUUAAAUAUAAAUAUUAAAAUAUAUAUUAUUUGUUACUUUAAAUAUAUUACUUUAAUAUUUUAUUUUAAUAAGUUGAAGUAUUUUGUAAAAUUCAUAAAUAUAUGUUAAUAUGUAUAUGUAAAUAUUUAAUAAUUGGAUUAAGUUAUUUUAUAUUUAUUAAUUGGUGUAAUAUUUAAUUAUGAAUAUGAAUUAUGCAUAUAUAAAUAUUAUAAAAUGUUAUUUAUUAUUCUAUCAAAUAAAAAAUGAAUUAAUAUUCAUUUAUAAUAGUGCUUAAUACUAAUUAAGUAUUUUAUUUUUUGAAAAAUAUCAAAAUACAAUCCUAAAAAAGAUUCUUACGGAUAUCAGAAUAUCUUUUAUGAUAAUUUAUUUUAAAAUAAAUUAAAUAAUAUGUUAAGUUUGAGUGUAAAUGUAAUAAUAGUUAAGUUUUUUAUAUGCAAAAUAAUAGGAAGUUAAAUAAAUGUAGUAGUUCAACUAUGAUUUUCUGUAAGCAGAUUUUUUAGUGAUUCUGUUCUAAUAGUAUUGAUUCUUAAUAUUUUUUGUCAGUGUGUCGUACGUAGUGUAUAUAUCUUUAUUUACAGCCAUGUAUUUUAUCAUUUUUGCUAGUAAAUAGGUGGUCGUAACUCGUAACAUGUCAAAGUUAGUUUUCGAUAUUGGUGUUUAAGCGGCCUAAGAUGAUGAAUGUAACCUUUGCCUUUGUCUUACCUUCUUCGCUGUUAUAUGUCUACUAAAAAUAAGAAGCAAUGCACAAGAGAGGACACAUAUAUAUUGAAGAAGGAUUGUAUAAAAUAAAAGUACGAGUAUGAUCACAAAGUUGCAUAAUAUUACAUUACAUGUCAUAAAGUUUGGAUAUUAUUAAAUGUCCUACAACUUAUAACUGGUCCCAUUCACCAAUAGCAACUGCUUCAUCACACUUAGCUUAAUCUCACUUUCCUCCGCUGCGAUGCGGCUCUGCCAUAGUUCUGGACGAAGAAGGUUUCGACUUCGAGGCUGAGGAUACAGAUUGAUUAACUACACUCUGUGAAGGUGAUCGUGGUUGCACAGUAGACGUUUCCGUCGCUGGAGGAACAUUUCUUCUCCAUCCUAUGCUGAAGUAGCCGACGAUAUUCCCCAUAACUGACUAACUGAGUGAUGUAAUUAAGACUCAAUAAGUG
rnacentral:lncRNA from 1 species